rnacentral:rRNA from 1 species
UACGUAGGGUGCAAGCGUUGUCCGGAAUUACUGGGCGUAAAGAGCUCGUAGGCGGUUUGUCACGUCGUCUGUGAAAUCCUCCAGCUUAACUGGGGGCGUGCAGGCGAUACGGGCAGACUUGAGUACUACAGGGGAGACUGGAAUUCCUGGUGUAGCGGUGAAAUGCGCAGAUAUCAGGAGGAACACCGGUGGCGAAGGCGGGUCUCUGGGUAGUAACUGACGCUGAGGAGCGAAAGCAUGGGGAGCGAACAGG